GCCCCUAGUUCAUAGAGCUCCAAGCUCCAAGACUGCAGAAUGUAGUUGUUGGGUAGAUCCAAGCAAGCGGCGCUCGCUAGCACCUCAGGUCACAAGCGAAGAAACGCUCUAAUCGAUGACGUCGUCGGCGUCGCCACCGCCGCCUCCUUGGAUGGAUACCCCAGCAGCAGGUUGGGAAGGUGUUUGGAAGGAACCGAAAAGUAUCGACUCAUGCUGACAACAACGAUGUUGUUACAGUUUGGUUGUGUACUUUGUACCGUUUCAGUUUCUCCGGCGGGUUCCAGUGAAGGUAGAAGAGCAGAAGAACCCCAAAGUCAUCCAGAGUUGCAAACCGCUGGCGAAUGAUCGAGAUUUGGCUGAAACGACCCUGAUGCGGUCACGUACACCAGAGAAAAGACCAUGUGCCGUUGACUACGUACCGUUGAUUGACCACGAGGUAGAGAGCAUGAGAUCAGAAAGGGAGAGAAAGAUUAGCACGAUGAUCGAUCGUUGUAGUGCAGAAGUGGAUUACGGGGAAUGGCUUCGUCACAGCGUAGUCAUCAACGCCACCAUGAUCAUCCACCAAAAACAACAACAACAGCCGAUGAAGGUGUAGCUAAACAGACGGAAGAAAGACGCGCAGAGAAACUGCCAACGCGCUCGAGGUGUAGAGGAGGAGAAGCGUGCGGCGGGGAUAGAGACGGCCAGGGUCCAAAAGAAGUAUAAAAGUAUAACAUACAUGGUAAGUAAACAUUACGUGUAAACUAGUUUAUUUAAAAAAAUAACCGUUUUACCUUUAGUUCUCAGGCGUAAAAAGAAACGUAUGCAGCGAAUUAAUGUUACAAAUGAAUGAAAUAUAAAGGAGUGUCAUUGUUUCAAAGGCGUGUGCAUUGCCCCAAAAAGCGGACUUGGGAGACAAUGCAGAGCAAACCAAAGCGCGCAUCAAGUGCGCCAACUGUGAAGCUAGCCAUACCAGCAACUAUCGUGGGUGCAGUGCACGGGGCGAUCAGCGUGUAGCGGCAAUGCGGUCCAGCAAAAAGUCACCAGGGAAGAUGAUGACACGGUUUCGGACCUGUCGUAACAAGGCAGAUCAAUUCCUGGCCCUCGGGGAGCUGAUGAUUAAACACAUCUACAGAGGAUAGACUACUGUGAUCUAAUUAUGAGCUUUAUCUAUUGCUAUCUCCUUUCCCUUGUAAUUUAAGUAAGUUUUCUCUUAAUUUCGAUACUUCCUUAAUUAAAACCAAUUUGAUACUAAAAUUAAGCCUUAAUUGGUGAUAUUAUUAACCACAAGAUUAUGUUCAAUUUAAACAAAAUAACUUCGCGGCCCUUCUUGACAUAAAGCAAGAUAAUUGACAGCUCGUUCCAAAGGGACCAUUGAUAAAUGUUGUCUUGUCAUUUUUCAAUAUAUUUUUAUUCAAUAUAAUUUUUCGAUACAAUAAAAAAAAAUGAUAAAAAUUAACAUAUGGCUUUAAGACCCUAUUGUUCCAAAAUGGUUUAAUAUGUAACACGCAGCUGAAAGGGACUCUUAAACUCAGUAAUGUGCUACAAAGAUCUUAUCUCACCAAUAAAAAUUGAAUUGAAAUGGAAAAUUAUUAUUAAAACAUGAAAAAUACAGUUCAAGUUUACUAAAUCUAAAACGCCUAUAUUUUGUUCUAAUCACCAUGCGAUG